GUUCUGUGUCUGGAGCCCUGGGCGGGCUGUCAGGCUGAGAGGACCCAAGAACAUUGGUGGAGAAGAAGCGAGAGGGGAUGAUUAUAUUUCCAAGAAUUCCUUUUGGGGAGAGAUCCCCAUCCACCGUUCACCACUGUUGCUUGCAAUCCUUCUCCUUGAGAUUUUUCUGGAAACACAAUGCCUCUGUGGAUUACAAUUUCGGCGGGACCCCUUUCAACUAAAACUCGGUCAAAGAGGGGAAGAAACUUUCUAAACGCCUGUUCUGCCAUCACUCCAGCCGCCCCAGUUGGUAGUCUGAAAGACGGCCACCUGGAGGUGUGCCCCGAGUCACUGUGAAAUUCCGGUUCAGUUUUACUACUUGAUAAAGCCCAGCCAUUCAGUGCGA